AUGUCCGGCCGCUCCUUGGGGUUCUUGCCGAGGCACCGGUCCGCCAGCCUCGCCGCCUCGCGCGCGGUGGCCAGCGGGUACCGCCCGCCCAGCCGCGGGUCCAUGAUGGUCCUGAAGCUGUCCCCUCCGGGCGGGUGCUGGCGCACCCACCCCAGCAGCUUCUGCUCCUCCGCCGGCCGGCUGCGCUCCACCGACCGCCGCCCCGUCAGGAUCUCGUACAGCACCACCCCGAACCCCCACACGUCGCUCUUCACCGUGAGGUGCCCCGUCUCGAUGUAG
rnacentral:rRNA from 1 species